rnacentral:rRNA from 1 species
UACAGAGGUGGCAAGCGUUGUUCGGAAUUACUGGGCGUAAAGGGCGCGUAGGCGGCUUGGUCAGUCCCGUGUGAAAUCCCUCGGCUCAACUGAGGAACUGCACGGGAAACUGCCUGGCUUGAGUGCGGGAGAGGGAAGCGGAAUUCCGGGUGUAGCGGUGAAAUGCGUAGAUAUCCGGAGGAACACCGGUGGCGAAGGCGGCUUCCUGGACCGGCACUGACGCUGAGGCGCGAAAGCUAGGGGAGCAAACGGG